rnacentral:tRNA from 1 species
GAGAGGUCUCAGAAUUGGUAGAUGGUUACCUGAAAUCAGGGUGUCGUAAAGGGCAUUGAGGGUUCGAGUCCCUCCCUCUCCU